rnacentral:misc_RNA from 1 species
AAGUCGUAACAAGGUUUCCGUAGGUGAACCUGCGGAAGGAUCAUUAAAAAAAUUUUUAAUUAUUAUUUUUGUGAAAUUUAUUAUUAUUUUUAAUUCGUAAUGACUAAAAUUUAUUUAAAAAAAACUUUCAACAAUGGAUCUCUUGGUUCUU